UUCCGGUUGAUCCUGCCGGAGGUCACCGCUCUUGGGAUACGCUUAAGCCAUGCGAGUCGAGAGGGUUCGGCCCUCGGCGUACUGCUCAGUAACACGCGGAUAAUCUGCCCUGGGGUGGGGCAUAAGCUCGGGAAACUGAGUAUAGUACCCCAUAGACUUCGGGUACUGGAAUGUCCCAAAGUCAAAAGCUACGGCGCCUCAGGAUGAGUCUGCGGCCUAUCAGCCUGUAGUUGGUGUAACGGACCAACUAAGCUUCGACGGGUACGGGCCUUGGGAGAGGUCGCCCGGAGAUGGAUUCUGAGACACGAAUCCAGGCCCUACGGGGCGCAGCAGGCGCGAAAACUUCGCAAUGCGGGAAACCGCGACGAGGGAAUCCCAAGUGCUAGUACUUUGUACUAGCUGUUUUUCUGGUUAAAAACCAGGGAGAGUAAGGGCUGGGUAAGACUGGUGCCAGCCGCCGCGGUAAUACCAGCAGCCCUAGUGGUGAUCGUUAUUAUUGGGCCUAAAACGUCCGUAGCCUGCUCAGUAAAUUCUUGGGUAAAUCGAGGGGCUUAACCUUUCGAAUUCCGAGGAGACUGCUGGGCUUGGGACCGGGGGAGGUCAGAGGUACUUCGGGGGUAGGGGUGAAAUCCUGUAAUCCCCGAGGGACCACCAGUGGCGAAGGCGUCUGACUAAAACGGAUCCGACGGUAAGGGACGAAGCCUUGGGGCGCAAACGGGAUUAGAUACCCCGGUAGUCCAAGGUGUAAACGCUGCGGGUUUGGUGUUGGGGGUCCUACGAGGGCGUCCAGUGCCGGAGUGAAGAUGUUAAACCCGCUGCCUGGGGAGUACGGUCGCAAGACUGAAACUUAAAGGAAUUGGCGGGGGAGCACAGCAACGGGUGGAGCGUGCGGUUCAAUUGGAAUCAACGCCGGU
rnacentral:rRNA from 1 species